rnacentral:rRNA from 1 species
AGCGCAACCCUUAUCGUUAGUUGCUACCAUUAAGUUGAGCACUCUAGCGAGACUGCCUGGGUUAACCAGGAGGAAGGUGGGGAUGACGUCAAAUCAUCAUGCCCCUUAUGUCUAGGGCUACACACGUGCUACAAUGGCCGGUACAACGAGAAGCAAACCCGUGAGGGGGAGCCAAACUAAAAAACCGGUCCCAGUUCGGAUUGUAGGCUGAAACUCGCCUACAUGAAGUUGGAGUUGCUAGUAAUCGCGAAUCAGAAUGUCGCGGUGAAUACGUUCCCGGGUCUUGUACACACCGCCCGUCACACCAUGAGAGCCGGUAACACCCGAAGCCUGUGAGGUAACCGCAAGGAGCCAGCAGUCGAAGGUGGGAUUGGUGAUUGGGGUGAAGUCGUAACAAGGUAGCCG